GCAACUCCGCUGCACCUUGAAACACACCUUUGAAUUUAAGGCCAAAAUGUACGAUAAAGUAGGGGAUAGAGCGACAGGAAAACGAUAUUGCCAAGUUACUUUUAUGAUACACGUGAAAAUCGCGUAGCAAUGAAACUGUUGUAAAAGAUAUUUACGAGAACCAGUGUACGAACACAUUAUCGGUUCGCAACAUUCUAUUAUUCCGGUGUUGAAAUAAAGCACAGGUGGCGAUGCGGCCGGUUAGAUCAAAUAACAUUAGUUACAUGAAACAAAUGAAAUUUUUACAUGUUUCACAAGAGUGGUUGAGCGGUUUCAGCAACAUCGUCGUCCUAUUUGCGAUAGAUCCUAAAGAAUGUGUCGCGUAACCGAUCGACUGAACAUCGCGUUAUGUAGCGCCGCGGGCUAAUCGGCCGCGGAAACUCAAUGACUUUGGUUCGCGCGAUGUAAACGAUAGGCAAAGGAAUUCAAGGAAAAAGAUGUUACUCUACGCCAUCAUUUGCGUUUCUCUACGCACAACAUGCCGAAAAUAAUCCUGGAAGAUCAUACGUAACGGAAAAUAUCAUGGUCGACGUUCUAUUUGCGGACAGUAUCACCGCAGCGGGUGGAAAUACUGAAAAUUCAUUCAAGAAACCAUUCCAACCGGUUACACUGAACGCAGAUAUUUCGCGUAAUUAUCGUUCGACCUUUGCAAACGGCGAAUAGUUGGCUGAAAAUAGUAAAACGUGGGUGUCGAUUGCAUUUUAACGAAGCGUAAUCGCGGAAUUCGCAAUAAACAGCCGGCAAAGGUGUUCAGGCGCGCGGAACUUAUCAUCGCAUAACAAUCGACUUACUGGUGCAUAGCAUGCGUGGGUCACCCGAUUCCAAUCUAAGAUUUGGCGUACAGCCGAAACCUCUCAAAGGUUAACGAUCUUCUGCUCGCAUCGAAUAAGAAAUCGAUCGAUAGCUCGCUCGUUCGCAACUCUAACUCUGCACCUCUCCUAUCUCUUUGGAACUUCCAAUAUUCGUACAGUUUCUGAUUGUACGUAACACGCUGUCACUUUACGGACCCUACUCACACGAACGCUACGAUCAGAUCUUGGAGCAAUGUGCGACAACAAAGAACAGCAUACUUCACACAAUUGCAGAUCGUAUCCAGCGAAGACGAAGCCUGCGGAUCAAAGCUAAUUCUAACGACGCGACAAAAUUAUAGAAAAAUUUCGGCAAUUUGAACAAAGAAAUCGUUUCGUUCAAGAUGUUCGUUAGUAGAUAAAGUCAAACGGAAAUCGUGAAAGAAGCGUAAGAACAGCGAGUUUUCGCAAAGCAUCAAGCAACGUGACCCAUUUGAAAGCGAAAGAAAAAAAUGCCUAUCACCGUCCCCCGGAAUGUUUCGUGCGCAGUUCGAAAGCCGUCCAAGUGGCCGAGAUUUUAUGAGAAAUUAUACAGUUAACUAGCCGACAGCUUAGUUUCCCGAAUAUGUUACUAUCUAUAUAUUUAAUCAUUGUAUAAAAGAUACAUGUAUGAAAAUAUUAAGCGAUAUAAAUAUGCUAUUGGUAAUUAAUUGAGAAUAUGAAGAGCGAGAGAGAUGAAACUUUUAUUUUUCUUUUAAAGAAAAUAAAUAUACUUUCGUGGUUAAAAUAUUAUCACACAAAGACUUUUUCCAAUUAGUCUACGUACUAUGUAUCUUAAAGCGUGAUUGUUAACGUGUCAAAAAUAUCCCCCAAAAAAUGCUUAAUAACCAAGAUAAAAGUAUCCACAAAUCUUUGGAUUUUAUUUCUAGAAUGUUAAGUAAGCAAAUUAAAAUAUCGUUUGAAAAUUGUGAAUUCGGAAAAUGAUAACAAUAAGAACAUUGAAAAUUAUUUCGAGCAUAUGAUAAAUUAUUGAUAAAAAUAUCAGAUUUGUGUUAUUUAACAUCGAUAAAUUAACUAACACAUCAGAAAUGUGAUAUCAAGAUAAGAUUAAUAUCAAGAUAAAGCUCUCAUUGGCAAAAGACUGAAAAUAGGGAACGAAAAUUAGAAACGGUAAUUUCAUAAGAUUCGAAUUCUCUAAGAACUCUACUCGGCUCUGGUUCAUCGAGCCAAUUGUCAAGCAAACAUAGUUCCGUAGUAAUUUACAUAUCUAAGUAUUUCUAACAACGAUACUUCGAAACUGAUGCAAAUGAAGAAACGAUCCAGUAACGAAGUAGUCACAAAAUUGUCGCAUGUGCCGAUGAAACCGACGAUACCGCAAUCUUAUUUCAACGAUCAAAAAUCGAGGAACAUCAACGAAACUACGAUAGCUUAAAAUGACUCAGCGCUCGAUUAUUUUUGUCAUAAAAUCUGAAAAUACAAUCCAAAGGGCUGCCACAUCUAACGUCCCAUGUAAUCGAGUCGGUCUUGAGAGCCUUGAGCCUCUGCCAAAAAUGAAGAAAACAUUUUCAACGCGUACUUGAAGCUGUUCCAUUUUAUCAAUUGACACCGUAUUAAUCUGCUACCCUUGUAUCUUCUCCGGGUACUUCUUCUAGCAUAAUUAUCUCUCCGUAUAUUACGAAUCAAAAUUUGCGUCAAAGAAACGUUCAUUGUUAAUCGAAGACACAUUGCGUUUUAAUCUCUGUACACAGCAUUUUAAAAUAUAAUACCUACAAUUCGCAGAGAAGUAGAAGAUAUUUCGGACGUAUAAUGGAAAGCAUAAACAUCUACAAGAAAUAGAAGAUCAGCGACAACAGCGAUAGUCUUUCUCUCAGAAAUAAAACUAAAAUUAAAUAUUAAAUGUUUUGCGAUAAGUAAAAAAUUAACUCUGAAAAAGUAAAGUUCGUUCGAUUUGCGAAAAUCGCGUACUAUUGAUAAUUCGUAUAAAAUAAAACCAAUUAAAAUAAGACACUUUCGUUAUCAUUAAGAUCGUAUGCGAUGUAUUCGCUUAUUACAUGCCGUCGUAUGUAUCCUAAUACAACAUUUGAAAAUCGUGUAUCGUGCUCCAUGAGGUUAUGUACAGUAGUUCAAAAAUCUAGUAGGCAAAUAUUCUGUAAGUGAUAAACGUUCAGAAUGAACGCCUUCACUGUGAAAAUAAUAAUAACAUUUAACAAAUUUGCAAAACAAAAAGGUAGGCUAAACAAAUGUACUCAACACAAAUAGGAACAUUAAAAUACCAGUUCAAUCGUUCAAUAUGCAAUAUGAUAUAUCGUUGUCCAGUACUAUAUAACUAAAUCGAAGUUUUUUUAUCGAAGCAAAAAGAAAUAUAUAAAAUUCUAUUAA